AGAAAGGGGUUGUUAUUUUAUGAACAAAGAAAGGGUCAGAUAAUAAGGUAGAGGAGGUCGAGAUACGAAAGAGAGCUGUAACUGAAACUUCGCAAUCAUGGGUCUUAUGCACAAUCGUGGUUGGAGGAUAGCAUUUGCAAAUUUGCCAAGAAAGGGUUGACUCCAUCACAGAUUGGUGUUAUCGUUAUGGACUCUCAUGGUAUUGCUCAGGUUAGGAGCGUUACUGGGAGCAAUAUAGUACGUAUUCUAAAGACUGGCAUUGCCCCAGAAAUUCCGGAGAAUCAAUACCACCUGAUUAAGAAGGCGGUUGCUAUCCGAAGCAUCUUGAGAUAAAUAGGAAGGACAAAGAUUCGAAGUUCAGAUUGAUACUAGUAGAGAUCAGAAUUCACGGACUUGCCCGCUACUACAAGCGGACAAAGAAGCUUCCACCAGUUUGGAAAUAGUGAAUGCAGCACAACCUUGCAUAUCUAGAAUUCUUUAGGUUCCUUUAUUUUAUGAGAAAUAGUGAGUGUUCUAACUAGUUUUGGUUGUUAUGAUGCUGGAAGUAUCAAUGAGAACCAUGUGAUUGACUUACAGCAACCAUUGAUCUAAAACAGGCCAAGUGUACCUUUAAAUAAGAUGGGCCUUGUUGUUGGGUUGUUAACCCAGUUGAUUAGGAAAGUUGUGCGUCUGUAGCUGUAUUCUGUUUUCAAUUUUUGUAUUUUACUUAUGAGGUUGAUGAAGAUUUGGUCUCAUUGAGGAAGAAAGUUGUGUUUGGAAUUUAUCGGAUCA